AAAUUGAAGAGUUUGAUCAUGGCUCAGAUUGAACGCUGGCGGCAGGCCUAACACAUGCAAGUCGAACGGUAACAGGAAGCAGCUUGCUGCUUUGCUGACGAGUGGCGGACGGGUGAGUAAUGUCUGGGAAACUGCCUGAUGGAGGGGGAUAACUACUGGAAACGGUGGCUAAUACCGCAUAACGUCGCAAGACCAAAGAGGGGGACCUUCGGGCCUCUUGCCAUCAGAUGUGCCCAGAUGGGAUUAGCUUGUUGGUGAGGUAACGGCUCACCAAGGCGACGAUCCCUAGCUGGUCUGAGAGGAUGACCAGCCACACUGGAACUGAGACACGGUCCAGACUCCUACGGGAGGCAGCAGUGGGGAAUAUUGCACAAUGGGCGCAAGCCUGAUGCAGCCAUGCCGCGUGUAUGAAGAAGGCCUUCGGGUUGUAAAGUACUUUCAGCGGGGAGGAAGGUGUUGUGGUUAAUAACCGCAGCAAUUGACGUUACCCGCAGAAGAAGCACCGGCUAACUCCGUGCCAGCAGCCGCGGUAAUACGGAGGGUGCAAGCGUUAAUCGGAAUUACUGGGCGUAAAGCGCACGCAGGCGGUCUGUCAAGUCGGAUGUGAAAUCCCCGGGCUCAACCUGGGAACUGCAUUCGAAACUGGCAGGCUUGAGUCUUGUAGAGGGGGGUAGAAUUCCAGGUGUAGCGGUGAAAUGCGUAGAGAUCUGGAGGAAUACCGGUGGCGAAGGCGGCCCCCUGGACAAAGACUGACGCUCAGGUGCGAAAGCGUGGGGAGCAAACAGGAUUAGAUACCCUGGUAGUCCACGCCGUAAACGAUGUCUACUUGGAGGUUGUGCCCUUGAGGCGUGGCUUCCGGAGCUAACGCGUUAAGUAGACCGCCUGGGGAGUACGGCCGCAAGGUUAAAACUCAAAUGAAUUGACGGGGGCCCGCACAAGCGGUGGAGCAUGUGGUUUAAUUCGAUGCAACGCGAAGAACCUUACCUGGUCUUGACAUCCACAGAACUUUCCAGAGAUGGACUGGUGCCUUCGGGAACUGUGAGACAGGUGCUGCAUGGCUGUCGUCAGCUCGUGUUGUGAAAUGUUGGGUUAAGUCCCGCAACGAGCGCAACCCUUAUCCUUUGUUGCCAGCGGUUAGGCCGGGAACUCAAAGGAGACUGCCAGUGAUAAACUGGAGGAAGGUGGGGAUGACGUCAAGUCAUCAUGGCCCUUACGACCAGGGCUACACACGUGCUACAAUGGCGCAUACAAAGAGAAGCGACCUCGCGAGAGCAAGCGGACCUCAUAAAGUGCGUCGUAGUCCGGAUUGGAGUCUGCAACUCGACUCCAUGAAGUCGGAAUCGCUAGUAAUCGUGGAUCAGAAUGCCACGGUGAAUACGUUCCCGGGCCUUGUACACACCGCCCGUCACACCAUGGGAGUGGGUUGCAAAAGAAGUAGGUAGCUUAACCUUCGGGAGGGCGCUUACCACUUUGUGAUUCAUGACUGGGGUGAAGUCGUAACAAGGUAACCGUAGGGGAACCUGCGGUUGGAUCACCUCCUUACCUUAAAGAA
rnacentral:rRNA from 1 species